UACAGAGGGUGCAAGCGUUGUUCGGAAUUAUUGGGCGUAAAGCGCGUGUAGGCGGCCUUGCAAGUCGGGUGUGAAAGCCCUCAGCUCAACUGAGGAAGCGCGCCCGAAACUGCAGAGCUUGAGUACCGGAGAGGAUGGCGGAAUUCCCCAAGUAGAGGUGAAAUUCGUAGAUAUGGGGAGGAACACCGGUGGCGAAGGCGGUCACCUGGACGGAUACUGACGCUGAGACGCGAAAGCGUGGGGAGCAAACAGG
rnacentral:rRNA from 1 species